rnacentral:rRNA from 1 species
UUAAUUGCGAUAACGAACGAGACCUUGACCUGCUAAAUAGCCCAACUCACUUUUGUGGGUUGCUGGCUUCUUAGAGGGACUUUUGGCUCAAGCCAAUGGAAGUACGAGGCAAAAACAGGUCUGUGAUGCCCUUAGAUGUUCUGGGCCGCACGCGCGCUACACUGACAGGGCCAGCGAGUACAUCACCUUGGCCGAAAGGUCUGGGUAAUCUUGUUAAACCCUGUCGUGCUGGGGAUAGAGCAUUGCAAUG